rnacentral:piRNA from 1 species
UNGCACACGCUUCCAGGGUGCUUUCUGCCUU